UUCAUAAUUCCAGAGAGCUCGACCAAAUAAGACCCCUAACCUCACCCUUAAGCUGUCCACAAGGUUAUCCAACAAGAUUAUCGUCCGAGGCACAAAAUCACGAAGCAAUAACACUAGAACGAUCCCCACGACAUUGGGUUGAGUUAUUCGAAGAAUUACUUGGAAGGUAUUAAGGACUCAAUGGAGUUAAGGUCCCGAUUGAUAGGUUCAUAGUCCUCUUAUUAG